rnacentral:rRNA from 1 species
UACGGAGGGUGCAAGCGUUAUCCGGAUUUACUGGGUUUAAAGGGUGCGUAGGCGGAUAUUUAAGUCAGAGGUGAAAUCUCCGAGCUCAACUCGGAAACUGCCUUUGAUACUAUCUAUCUUGAAUUUCGUUGAGGUUGGCGGAAUAUAUCAUGUAGCGGUGAAAUGCAUAGAUAUGAUAUAGAACACCGAUUGCGAAGGCAGCUAACUAAACGAAUAUUGACGCUGAGGCACGAAAGCGUGGGGAGCGAAC